rnacentral:rRNA from 1 species
UUAAAUUGAAGAGUUUGAUCAUGGCUCAGAUUGAACGCUGGCGGCAGGCCUAACACAUGCAAGUCGAACGGUAACAGGAAGAAGCUUGCUUCUUUGCUGACGAGUGGCGGACGGGUGAGUAAUGUCUGGGAAACUGCCUGAUGGAGGGGGAUAACUACUGGAAACGGUAGCUAAUACCGCAUAACGUCGCAAGACCAAAGAGGGGGACCUUCGGGCCUCUUGCCAUCGGAUGUGCCCAGAAGGGAAUACACAUAUGACGCUGCCGACAAAGGCUCACAUAGGCCGACGGACCCAAGCGGAUCGGAGAGCAUCAACAACCACACUGGAACUGAGACACGGUCCAAACUCCUACGGGAGGCAGCAGUGGGGAAUAUUGCACAAUGGGCGCAAGCCAGAGGAUGCCAUGCCGCGUGGAUGAAGAAGG